GUGAUACGAAACCGGAUGUCUUUACGCCCUCUGUUUUUCUGUCGAAGACAAAAAUACGUUCUCUGUCUUGAAGAGAGAUCUAGAGGACAUAAAGGUGUCGGGUUUUGUAUCGACAGAGGAGCAGAAAACGGGGAUGUCCUCUGCGAUGGCCACCCUAGCGCUGACGCACGUCGCCGCUUGUACAACUGCGUGCGUCACGGCGCCGGGCGCUGUCGGAAGCACCUAGCUCUGCAGCACAGCCAUGUGUACAAAUGCCCAUAGGCUCAGCUCUAUUUAGGAAAAAGAAACGCCCGCUCUUGCAUUUAAUCAGGGUUGGAGUUACACUUUGACUCUUGGGGAUGGGGUCUGCAAAGAAAAUAAAAAUUAAACCAGCUUAUUGAUUAAGAAGGUCACGUAAGUGAAGGAGCAAGCUGAUCAGAGGACCCCCCCUCCCCCGGUUAUGAUUUUCAAAUCUUGUGGGGGGCUCUGGUCUCUUAUGGGGGGCUGGCUUAGCCCCCUCCCAAGUCCCCCUUAAUUCACACCCUGCUUUUAAUGCUCGUUGGUUGGAAAAGCCAGCGUUGUUCAGAGCUGGGAGGCCCAAAUGGUUUGAACUAUGGAAGAACAGACGUAAAGAGAGAAUGAAAAGGUUAGGACAGCCUGCUGUAGACAGGAGGUGAAUAAAUAAGGGCUUGUCUACAUGGGGAACUUGAGCGGCAUAACUAAGGAAAUGACGCUGGGAUAGGUGUCGCAGAACAGUGAUUCUCAUGCACUCAGGCUGGGCAAUUUACCUCCCCAGUAGACAGGCCUAAGACAGGACACGAUGACAGUAAUUCAGGAAAAUAAGGUAAUGUGUAAGUGUACACUUCUCAUAUUACAUGGUAGGUAGUUAUCCCCUAGUGUUUAUUGUCACAAGAUUUCUUAGAGCACCAGUACUUGGGUUUAAAAAAAUCAGAUGUUUAUGGAUCAAGAGUUUUAUAUUCAUUUUUAGAAGGGAUAUAUAAGCCCUCGUGCUUUAGAGCAGUGGCUGGUUGCUGACCUAUGGUGUUUAGCCUUUACUUUUUUGCUGUCUUGCAUUUUCAUCUGAUACUGGCCGCUUUUAAAAGAGAGGGUAUGGAGCUAGAUGGAUCACUGGUUUGAUUAGGUUUGGCAAAUGCCAUUGUUCCUCUCCCUUCAAAAAGUCCUAAACGUUUUAUGAAAUGAAAGGACUGUAGAAUGGGGUAAAUUGGAAAUAUUUUUGUGCCCCAUCUCAUGUGCCUUUAUACAAAUAACUUUAUAUCUACCAACCUCUUUUUUUUUUCUUUCAUGAAUAUGCAUUGUAGAUCAGGUAUCUCUUUUUCCAGAGGUGGCUAGUGAUUUACAUGGGAAACAAAAGAUUUCCUUUGCAAGAAUUGAAGACUGCAAAUGCUGCAGAAUGCUAAAGUAGGGCAAAUCUGCAACCUGCUGCAGGUCUAGUGAUUUAUUUAGCUUAGUGUUAAUUGUAGUGGUUGAGACAAGGAUUUUCUUUGAUUGUUUUAUGUCAUGUUGCUGUAGCUGAAGUUCUGUCAUUCAAGCUGAGCUGGAGCAAACAGUAAACUAGUCUAUCACAGUCAGGUUCUCACACUUUGACAGAGUGUUUUAAAGCUUGGGUCUCAAACCAUGGAGGAGCAUUGUAAAGGGCAUUUGUUGUCAGUAGAUGUGUAUAUAUACUAAAAACCUUCAUGAUAUUUAUGCUGGCCUGAGGUUUCACAAAUAUCAGUUUGGGAUCCUAGCAGUUUUAUUGUUCCUUCAGAAACAGAGACCGAGAUUUCAGCCUGUACAAAAUACUUCUGUUUCUUUACUUAUUUUCACAAAAUCUUGACUUGCUCUAGAUCCAGCUUAUUAACAGAUCAUGACUUUAUUCUCCAAGCUGAGCAAAGUGGAAGAAGUAAAGAAAUUGCUGGGAGAGUAGGUGGUGAAUGUGGACUUCAGACUUGAAAGAAUAAUAGCAUUGCGGAAGUAUUCCGAUGUUUUAUUUGUAUGGAGAAGUUGCGUGAUGCGCGCCUGUGUCCCCACUGCUCCAAGCUAUGUUGUUUCAGUUGUAUUCGGCGUUGGCUGACCGAACAAAGAGCUCAGUGCCCUCACUGUCGAGCCCCACUUCAGCUACGGGAACUUGUGAACUGUCGUUGGGCAGAGGAGGUUACACAACAACUUGACACACUUCAGCUAUGCAACCUUAACAAGCAUGAGGAAAAUGAGAGAGACAAGUGUGAAAAUCAUCAUGAAAAGCUGAGUGUGUUCUGCUGGACAUGUAAGAAAUGUAUUUGCCACCAAUGCGCCCUCUGGGGAGGAAUGCAUGGAGGACACACAUUUAAGCCACUGGCAGAAAUUUAUGAGCAGCAUGUCACAAAAGUGAACGAAGAGGUAGCAAAGCUUCGAAGGAGACUCAUGGAGCUGAUCAGCCUAGUGCAAGAAGUGGAAAGAAACGUAGAGGCAGUACGCAGUGCGAAGGAUGAACGAGUUCGGGAAAUCAGGAAUGCUGUAGAGAUGAUGAUUGCCCGGUUAGAUACUCAACUGAAGAACAAGCUUAUAACACUAAUGGGUCAAAAGACAUCACUCACCCAGGAAACUGAACUUCUGGAAUCCCUCCUGCAGGAAGUAGAACACCAGCUGCGAUCAUGCAGUAAGAGUGAAUUGAUAUCUAAGAGCUCGGAGAUCCUGAUGAUGUUUCAGCAGGUUCACAGGAAGCCUAUGGCAUCUUUUGUCACUACCCCUGUCCCUCCAGACUUUACAAGUGAACUAGUACCAGCCUAUGACUCAACUACUUUUGUCUUGGAAAACUUCAGCACUUUGCGCCAGCGGGCUGAUCCUGUUUACAGUCCACCUCUCCAAGUGUCGGGGCUUUGCUGGAGACUAAAAGUUUAUCCAGAUGGAAAUGGAGUGGUGCGUGGUUACUACUUGUCCGUGUUUUUGGAGCUGUCUGCUGGAUUGCCAGAAACAUCCAAAUAUGAGUACCGGGUAGAGAUGGUUCACCAGUCCACCAACGAUCCAGCUAAAAACAUCAUUCGAGAGUUUGCCUCUGAUUUUGAAGUUGGAGAAUGUUGGGGCUACAACAGAUUCUUUCGCCUAGACCUGCUUGCCAAUGAAGGGUAUUUAAACAGACAAAAUGACACAGUAAUUCUAAGAUUCCAAGUGCGUUCACCUACUUUCUUCCAAAAGUGUCGGGACCAACACUGGUACAUUACUCAGCUGGAAGCAGCUCAGACGAGUUACAUCCAACAGAUAAACAACCUUAAAGAGAGACUUGCAAUUGAGCUUUCCCGUACCCAAAAGUCACGAGGCAUGUCACCUCCGGACACUCAUCUUAGCCCGCAAAAUGAUGAUGGGCUGGAAGCGAGACCAAAGAAAGCUGGACAGAAUCCGGAAGUGCUACUUGAGAAUGUCACCACUCUGGCAUCUGCGCGAGAUAGCAAGGAUGAGGAGGAGGACAAAAUCCAGCAAGAAGACUUUAAUCACGACCUCUCGGACGGUGAUCUGGAAGUUGACCUCGCUGGAGAGGAUGAGGCAAAUCACCUUGAUGGUGGCAGCAGCUCAUCUGCCAGUUCAACAGCCACAAGCAACACUGAAGAAAAUGAUAUCGAUGAAGAAACUAUGUCUGGAGAAAAUGAUGUGGAAUAUGGUAGUAAUAUGGAGUUGGAAGAAGGAGAUCUCAUGGAUGACGCUGCUGCUGCCACUGGAGCAUCAGGUAGCAGCCAUGGCUAUGCCAACCCAAGCAGCAGAGCAUCAAGGCGGGGAGGAAGUAGUCUUGGCUCAGCAGCCAGCAGCAGUUUGCUAGACAUAGAUCCCCUGAUCUUAAUCCACUUUUUGGAUCUAAAAGACAGGAACGGUAUGGAAAAUCUGUGGGGACUACAGCCACGUCCUCCUGCCUCACUUCUGCAGAACAGAGCAUCAUCCUAUUCUCUAAAAGAUCGAGACCAGCGAAGGCACCAGGCCAUGUGGCGCGUGCCCCCUGACUUGAAGAUGCUGAAGAGACUCAAAACUCAGAUGGCUGAAGUUCGAAGCAAAAUGUCUGAUGUGAAAAACCAGCUGUCAGAAGUAAGAAGCAGCAACACAGGCUCUUGUGAUGGACAGCCUGGCUUCCUCCCUGUUGACCAGGGGGCUCUGGCUGCCUGUGGAACAGAUAGCUGCAGCAAGCUGCAAGAACUGGGAAUGGAGCUCUUGACAAAGUCCUCGGUUACAAGCUGUUACAUAAGGAACGCCACAAGUAAGAAAAGUAAUUCACCCAAACCUGCCCGGUCUGGAGCAGCAGGCAGCCUGUCUCUACGAAGAGCCAUGGACUGUGGGGACAACAAUCUUCGCUCAAAGGGAGACUGUCUGACUUCCUCUGAAGGUUGCAUAGGAAGUGCGAAGCAUAGCACCAGGCACGGCUCCCCCAGGCCCUUGGCCAACGGUGCUGCUGGCGAGGUGUUGCUGAAGCCAGAGGACAGGCAAUGCGAAGGCUCAGAUUGUGAUGUGGGGGUUUCUGGUUUGAACGGUUUAAGUGCUGCAGAGAAGACAAGAAAAGCUAUUGCCCUGGGGUCAAGUUCUAAAGGAUGUUGUACAGAAGGAGCACCGACAGCUGAUCUGGAAAGCAACUCGGAAACUGGGGAGCUCCAGGCUGUGCUCUCUGAAGUUGCCUCAGCAGGACCAGAGGAAGCUGGGCUGUGCCAGAAGCAUGUCCUCCACCUCCUGCCAGGCAUGAGCAGUGACAGCGACAUUGAAUGUGACACUGAAAAUGAAGAGCCGGAGGAUGCCGCGUCAUCCACAGAUGGGUUUAACCACGCCUUUGCCGUCCAGUCCUCGAGCGAAGGUAGAACCCACGGUGACAACAUGCAGUCAGAGGGCAGAUGUCCAAGGGCCAGCCCUAACCUGGCUUGCGUUUUAUGUGGUCCUAGAGCUGGGUUCCAUGUUUCCUGAAGGUGAUCAGACUGGUCCUGAAGAUCUCGGUUUUGCUGCUGGCGAGGACAAUACCAGGUAGAGGAUUGGGUUGGUGCCUGCAGAAGACUGUCUUGAAGAGCUGGGUUCACACUAACCUGCUUAUGCCCCUGAGAAGAGGUACUCUUGCCACUGGAACUUACUUAUGCCAUCAGGAUUGCUCAUGGUAGAAUAAGCUGACUUCAUUACAUUCUGUAGUUCUUCCUCACCGCCUUGAAACCUCUGCAUAGGUCCCCCUGCCCUGUGAAAGCCUCUUAUAGCAAAAAGACUGCGUUCCUCUUGGUUCAAACAUAUUCUCUGAACAAAUGUUCGAAAGGUGCUGGAGCCCUGUGAGCAUGCUUGUCUAGUGACUCUGAGGCGGGUGCAUUGGAGGAGGUGUAGGAAUAAUAGCUGUGCCAGUAGAAACGCAGGGGACCCUACAGAUAUGUUUUAACUUAACGUUAAAGAGGAGCAGCCUCUCCAACCAUUAGUUACCCUCCUCUUCCAUCUCCACCUUGGACCAACUUGGAACAUGUUGCCAAACCCUUUUUUUUUUUGCCACCGUGCAUUGCAUUUGAGCUGCUAAACAGUUUGUGAAGCUACGACGAAAGCUGAAAAACUGGCUGUUGAAAAAGCAAAGGUAACUGUAAAUGUUCGUAGAGUGUUCCUGCCUUAUCUUGCUGUAUGUACUGGAGUUCUUUUUGUAUGUAAGAUUGUUCCCCUGUGUAAGUGCUGUGCGAUUCAUAGUUUAGUUUGAAACUUUGCACUUUGUUAAUAAAAUGAACAUUGAAAUACAGCGUGAAAUCGUUUGACGCCCAUC